rnacentral:lncRNA from 1 species
CCUGUUAAGACCAGCAAAGCGCCGGACCCCCGUUGGGUCCUAUUACUGUGGCUACCAUUCACUGGUAUAUGAGUGUCGGUCAUUUCCAACAGGCCCCCACACUUGACAACCAUACAACAGUAUUGCUCGUACCUGCCUAUCGAAACACCUCAUCCUCACAUCUGGGGCGAACAACUUUAGCAUAUCUAAUUUUGCACUCAACGCGAACAUAGCUGCUCUAGCUGUGUCAUACAACUGCUGACGGCAAGCCCAGAACUGCCGUUCCGGACCAUAUACACUAACCCCAGAUAUCGUGCACUAUCCUUAGCCGGUAUGGCCUCUCCAGCCAGCCUGAGCUCAUCACACGAUGCUUGGACAGCACUUCUGUUGAAGGGCGGUCCUAUCCCAACGUAGAUAGGUGGUAGUUAGGCGAUGAAUCCGCUGUGAUAGGCGAUGCCUCGGACGUGCGUCGACCUUGCCUCGGCCGUGCCUCGACCUUGCCUCGGCCAUGCCUCGACCUUGCCUCGGGUCUCUCGGCCGCGUAUCUCGGACGUGUCCUCAGGUCCAGGGAUGGUGGACGACAGUACGAUACUUCCAUUGGUAUCGGUACAUAAGACCAGAGUGGUGCAUGUCUUUCUAUCUCAUCUUAGGAUGGAUCGGUAUUCCUUCAAAGAAAUCUCCUAAAGUCUUCUUGCCGUUCACCACUAACCCAC